rnacentral:tRNA from 1 species
GCGGCGGUAGUCCAGCAUGGUAGGACAUGUUGCAGAGGUCUGCGACGCCUAAGGUCGGCCUUCCACGCCGAAGGUCGCGGGUUCAAGUCCCGCCCGCCGCA